rnacentral:rRNA from 1 species
GAUGAACGCUAGCGGCAGGCCUAAUACAUGCAAGUCGAACGGUUCAUGGUUUUCGGAUCAUGGAUAGUGGCGCACGGGUGCGUAACGCGUACACAACAUACCCUUUACUGGGGGAUAGCGGUGGGAAACUGCCAGUAAUACCCCAUGUCCUCGUGAGGUGGCAUUAUUUUGCGAGGAAAGUUACGGCGGUAAAGGAUUGGUGUGCGUCCGAUUAGCUAGUUGGCGGGGUAACGGCCCACCAAGGCGACGAUCGGUAGGGGGUGUGAGAGCAUGGCCCCCCCACACGGGUACUGAGACACGGACCCGACUCCUAUGGGAGGCAGCAGUGGGGAAUAUUGCACAAUGGGCGCAAGCCUGAUGCAGCAAACGCCGCGUGAGGGACGACGGCCUCGGUUGUAACUACUUUGUCAGGAAGAAGACGAAAGUAGACGGU